rnacentral:misc_RNA from 1 species
AUAAUUAUUCAGCUAAACACGGCGUCUAUCAUUAUUUCGUAUAAUUGAUGGAAACGAGUAGGAAUUACCUCAAAUAAUUAUGGAGCAAUGUGUUCUCGUUUUUGAAUAAUUAUUUCGAGGCGAGCCUUCGAAUUAAUCAAUCGAAACUUCGCAUUGUACACGAUCACAAAAAGUUUCGGGGAUUAUUCAAAAUCCAGGAUACGGCGAUUACAGGAUAUCUGAGAACCCGUUUAAAAACGAUUAGCAGGACGAUCGUGACACCAAAGUCGACUUGCG